UGGGGAAUAUUGCACAAUGGGCGAAAGCCUGAUGCAGCGACGCCGCGUGAGGGAUGACGGCCUUCGGGUUGUAAACCUCUUUCAGCAGGGACGAAGCGCAAGUGACGUUACCUGCAGAAGAAGCACCGGCUAACUACGUGCCAGCAGCCGCGGUAAUACGUAGGGUGCAAGCGUUGUCCGGAAUUACUGGGCGUAAAGAGUUCGUAGGCGGUUUGUCGCGUCGUUUGUGAAAACCAGCAGCUCAACUGCUGGCUUGCAGGCGAUACGGGCAGACCUGAGUACUGCAGGGGAGACUGGAAUUCCUGGUGUAGCGGUGAAAUGCGCAGAUAUCAGGAGGAACACCGGUGGCGAAGGCGGGUCUCUGGGCAGUAACUGACGCUGAGGAACGAAAGCGUGGGUAGCGAACAGG
rnacentral:rRNA from 1 species